rnacentral:rRNA from 1 species
GGUUUGAUCAUGGCUCAGAUUGAACGCUGGCGGGAUGUUCUUUAUACAUGCAAGUCGAACGGCAGCACGGACUUCGGUCUGGUGGCGAGUGGCGAACGGGUGAGUAAUGAAUGGAACGUGCCUAGUAGCGGGGAUAACUACGAAAGCGUAGCACAUUCCGCAUACCCUUCGGGGAAAGCGGGGACCUUCGGGCCUCGCACUAUUAGAGCGGCCGAUAUCGAUUAAAGAAGUUGCGGGUAACGGCUCACCAAAGGCGACGAUCCGUAGCUGGUUUGAGAGGACGCACUCCAGCCACAUACUGGGGACUGAGACACGGCCCAGACUCCUACGGGAGGCAGCAGGGGGACCUUUGGACAAUGGGAACUGUUGAUCCAGCCAUCCCGCGUGCGAAGGAAGGCCUUUCGGGUUGUAAAGCACUUUGCAGGAAAGAAAACGGCACGGGAUACGACCUCGUGCAACUGACGGUACCGCAGCAUCAAGCACCGGCUAACCAUGCGCCAAACAGCCGCGGUAUUACGUAGUGUGCAAGCUAAGACCGGAAUUACUGGGCGUAAAGGUGCAGGCGGUUCGAAAGAAAGAGAUGCUGAACCCAGAGCUUAACUUUGAACUGCAUUUUUAACUACUGAAAGCUAGAGUGUGUCAGAGGGAGGUGAAUUCGCGUGUAGUAUGCAGAAAUGCGUAGAUAUGCGGAGGAACACCGAUGGCGAAGGCAGCCUCCUGGGAUAACACUGACGCUCAUGCACGAAAGCGUGGGGAGCAAACAGGAUUAGAUAUUCUGGUAGUCCACGCCCUAAACGAUGUCAACUAGUUGUUAGCCUCGGCCUUGCAGCGCAGCUAACGCGUGAAGUUGACCGCCUGGGGAGUACAACGGUCGCAAGAUUAAAACUCAAAGGAAUUGACGGGGACUCCACAAGCGGUGGAUGAUGUGAUUAUCUGAUGCAACGCGAAAACCUUACCUACCCUUGAUAUGUUCCAUGAAUCCCGAAGAGAUUUGGGUGAGUGCUCGCAAGAGAAACCGGAACACAUGCUGCGUAUGGCUAAGCCGUCAGCUCGUGUCGUGAUGCUGGUUAAGUCCUGCAACGAGCGCAACCCUUGUCAUUAGUUACAAGGAAAGGGCACCCUUAAUGAGACUGCCGGUGACAAACCGGAGGAAGGUGGGGGAUGACGUCAAGUCCUCAUGGCCCUGCGGGUAGGGGCUUCACACGUCAUACAAUGGUCGGGACAGAGGGUCGCUAACCCGCGAGGGGGAGCCAAUCCCAGAAACCCGAUCAGUCCGAUCAGCAGGUCUGCAACUCGACUGCGCAGGUGAAGUCGGAAUCGCUAGUAAUCGCGGAUCAGCAUGUCGCGGUGAAUACGUUCCCGGGUCUUGUACACACCGCCCGUCACACCAUGGGAGUGGGUUUUACCAGAAGCGGUUAUAGCCUAACCGUAAGGAGGGCGAUUACCACGGUAGGAUUCUGCGGCUGGGGUGAAGUCGCCAAGGUAUUUGUUGGAUACCUGAUGUCUGC